rnacentral:rRNA from 1 species
UGCAGUCGAGCGCGGGAAGCGAGUGGAUCCCUUCGGGGUGAAGCUCGUGGAACGAGCGGCGGACGGGUGAGUAACACGUGGGCAACCUGCCUGUAAGAUCGGAAUAACCCCGGGAAACCGGGGCUAAUGCCGGGUAAUACUUUCUUUCGCAUGAAGGAAAGUUGAAAGAUGGCUUCUUGCUAUCACUUACAGAUGGGCCCGCGGCGCAUUAGCUAGUUGGUGAGGUAACGGCUCACCAAGGCGACGAUGCGUAGCCGACCUGAGAGGGUGAUCGGCCACACUGGGACUGAGACACGGCCCAGACUCCUACGGGAGGCAGCAGUAGGGAAUCUUCCGCAAUGGACGAAAGUCUGACGGAGCAACGCCGCGUGAACGAUGAAGGUCUUCGGAUCGUAAAGUUCUGUUGUUAGGGAAGAACAAGUACCGUGCGAAUAGAGCGGUACCUUGACGGUACCUAACGAGGAAGCCCCGGCUAACUACGUGCCAGCAGCCGCGGUAAUACGUAGGGGGCAAGCGUUGUCCGGAAUUAUUGGGCGUAAAGCGCGCGCAGGCGGUUCCUUAAGUCUGAUGUGAAAGCCCACGGCUCAACCGUGGAGGGUCAUUGGAAACUGGGGAACUUGAGGACAGAAGAGGAGAGUGGAAUUCCACGUGUAGCGGUGAAAUGCGUAGAUAUGUGGAGGAACACCAGUGG